AUUGAACGCUGGCGGCAGGCUUAACACAUGCAAGUCGAGCGGGGUGAUGGUGCUUGCACUAUCACUUAGCGGCGGACGGGUGAGUAAUGCUUAGGAAUCUGCCUAUUAGUGGGGGACAACAUCUCGAAAGGGAUGCUAAUACCGCAUACGUCCUACGGGAGAAAGCAGGGGAUCACUUGUGACCUUGCGCUAAUAGAUGAGCCUAAGUCGGAUUAGCUAGUUGGUGGGGUAAAGGCCUACCAAGGCGACGAUCUGUAGCGGGUCUGAGAGGAUGAUCCGCCCCAGUGGGACGGAGACACGGCCCAGACUCCUACGGGAGGCAGCAGUGGGGAAUAUUGGACAAUGUGGGGAACCCUGAUCCAGCCAUGCCGCGUGUGUGAAGAAGGCCUUAUGGUUGUAAAGCACUUUAAGCGAGGAGGAGGCUCUUUUGGUUAAUACCCAAGAUGAGUGGACGUUACUCGCAGAAUAAGCACCGGCUAACUCUGUGCCAGCCGCCGCCGUAA
rnacentral:rRNA from 1 species